rnacentral:rRNA from 1 species
AGUGAACGCUGGCGGUAGGCCUAACACAUGCAAGUCGAACGGCAGCACAGUAAGCGCUUGCUCUUACGGGUGGCGAGUGGCGGACGGGUGAGGAAUACAUAGGAAUCUACUUUUUCGUGGGGGAUAACGUAGGGAAACUUCCGCUAAUACCGCAUACGUCCUACGGGUGAAAGCAGGGGAUCUUCGGACCUUGCGCGUUUGUUUGAGCUGAUGUCGCAUUAGCUAGUUGGCGGGGUAAAGGCCCACCAAGGCGACGAUACGUAGCUGGUCUGAGAGGAUGAUCAGCCACACUGGAACUGAGACACGGUCCAGACUCCUACGGGAGGCAGCAGUAGGGAAUAUUGGGCAAUGGGCGCAAGCCUGAUCCAGCAAUACCGCGUGAGUGAAGAAGGCCUUCGGGUUGUAAAGCCCUUUUAUUGGGAAAGAAAAGCAGCAUGUUAAAACCCCGCUGUUCUGACGGUACCCAAAGAAUAAGCACCGGCUAACUUCGUG